UGAACGCUGGCGGCGUGCUUAACACAUGCAAGUCGAACGGCAGCACAGGGAGCUUGCUCCCGGGUGGCGAGUGGCGCACGGGUGAGUAAUACAUCGGAACGUGUCCUGUUGUGGGGGAUAACUGCCCGAAAGGGUGGCUAAUACCGCAUGAGACCUGAGGGUGAAAGCGGGGGAUCGCAAGACCUCGCGCAAUUGGAGCGGCCGAUGCCCGAUUAGCUAGUUGGUGAGGUAAAGGCUCACCAAGGCGACGAUCGGUAGCUGGUCUGAGAGGACGACCAGCCACACUGGGACUGAGACACGGCCCAGACUCCUACGGGAGGCAGCAGUGGGGAAUUUUGGACAAUGGGGGCAACCCUGAUCCAGCCAUGCCGCGUGCAGGAUGAAGGCCUUCGGGUUGUAAACUGCUUUUGUCAGGGACGAAAAGGACCGUGUUAAUACCAUGGUCUGCUGACGGUACCUGAAGAAUAAGCACCGGCUAACUACGUG
rnacentral:rRNA from 1 species